GACAAACGCUGGCGGCGUGCUUAACACAUGCAAGUCGAACGGAAAGGCCCUGCUUUUGUGGGGUGCUCGAGUGGCGAACGGGUGAGUAACACGUGAGUAACCUGCCCUUGACUUUGGGAUAACUUCAGGAAACUGGGGCUAAUACCGGAUAGGAGCUCCUGCUGCAUGGUGGGGGUUGGAAAGUUUCGGCGGUUGGGGAUGGACUCGCGGCUUAUCAGCUUGUUGGUGGGGUAGUGGCUUACCAAGGCUUUGACGGGUAGCCGGCCUGAGAGGGUGACCGGCCACAUUGGGACUGAGAUACAGCCCAGACUCCUACGGGAGGCAGCAGUGGGGAAUAUUGCACAAUGGGCGGAAGCCUGAUGCAGCAACGCCGCGUGCGGGAUGACGGCCUUCGGGUUGUAAACCGCUUUCGCCUGUGACGAAGCGUGAGUGACGGUAAUGGGUAAAGAAGCACCGGCUAACUACGUG
rnacentral:rRNA from 1 species